AAUGAACGUUGGCGGCAGGCCUAACACAUGCAAGUCGAGGGAGAAGCAAUUUUCGGAUUGUGGAGACCGGCGGACGGGUGAGUAAUACAUGGAAAUCUGCCUUACACUGGGGGAUAACUACUGGAAACAGUAGCUAAUACCGCAUACGCCAUAUUGGGAAAGCUCCGGCGGUGUAAGAUGAGUCCAUGCCUGAUUAGCUAGUUGGUAGGGUAAAAGCCUACCAAGGCGACGAUCAGUAGCUGGUUUGAGAGGAUGAUCAGCCACACUGGGACUGAGACACGGCCCAGACUCCUACGGGAGGCAGCAGUGAGGAAUAUUGGACAAUGGGCGCAAGCCUGAUCCAGCCAUGCCGCGUGAGUGAAGACGGCCUUCGGGUUGUAAAGCUCUUUCAGCAGGGAGGAAAAUGACGUUACCUGCAGAAGAAGUCCCGGCUAACUCCGUG
rnacentral:rRNA from 1 species